CAAAAUAAAAAUGAAAGCAAAAACCAUACACUGAAAAAAGAAAAUAAAUCUUAACUUAAAGAUGCUUGUUAUUUCCGUCAACGAAAUUUGAUACAAGUGAAGGAAACAAAACAGAUAAAAAACUAAAGCAUUUACAAUAUGCAAUCUUUUUGAGAAAUAUACGCGUCAAUAUAAAGAUAAAGAAAGAGCAAUUUUUAAAUUAUGUUUACAAAAAUAUUUUACUAAAAUUGUUUUA